UGCAGUCGAACGAUGAUCCCAGCUUGCUGGGGGAUUAGUGGCGAACGGGUGAGUAACACGUGAGUAACCUGCCCUUGACUCUGGGAUAAGCCUGGGAAACUGGGUCUAAUACCGGAUACGACCAUCUGGCGCAUGUCAUGGUGGUGGAAAGCUUUUGUGGUUUUGGAUGGACUCGCGGCCUAUCAGCUUGUUGGUGGGGUAAUGGCCUACCAAGGCGACGACGGGUAGCCGGCCUGAGAGGGUGACCGGCCACACUGGGACUGAGACACGGCCCAGACUCCUACGGGAGGCAGCAGUGGGGAAUAUUGCACAAUGGGCGCAAGCCUGAUGCAGCGACGCCGCGUGAGGGAUGACGGCCUUCGGGUUGUAAACCUCUUUCAGUAGGGAAGAAGCGUAAGUGACGGUACCUGCAGAAGAAGCGCCGACUAACUACGUGCCAGCAGCCGCGGUAAUACGUAGGGCGCAAGCGUUAUCCGGAAUUAUUGGGCGUAAAGAGCUCGUAGGCGGUUUGUCGCGUCUGCUGUGAAAGACCGGGGCUCAACUCCGGUUCUGCAGUGGGUACGGGCAGACUAGAGUGCAGUAGGGGAGACUGGAAUUCCUGGUGUAGCGGUGAAAUGCGCAGAUAUCAGGAGGAACACCGAUGGCGAAGGCAGGUCUCUGGGCUGUAACUGACGCUGAGGAGCGAAAGCAUGGGGAGCGAACAGGA
rnacentral:rRNA from 1 species